GAUGAACGCUGGCGGCGUGCCUAAUACAUGCAAGUCGAGCGAACGGACGAGAAGCUUGCUUCUCUGAUGUUAGCGGCGGACGGGUGAGUAACACGUGGAUAACCUACCUAUAAGACUGGGAUAACUUCGGGAAACCGGAGCUAAUACCGGAUAAUAUUUUGAACCGCAUGGUUCAAAAGUGAAAGACGGUCUUGCUGUCACUUAUAGAUGGAUCCGCGCUGCAUUAGCUAGUUGGUAAGGUAACGGCUUACCAAGGCAACGAUGCAUAGCCGACCUGAGAGGGUGAUCGGCCAAACUGGAACUGAGACACGGUCCAGACUCCUACGGGAGGCAGCAGUAGGGAAUCUUCCGCAAUGGGCGAAAGCCUGACGGAGCAACGCCGCGUGAGUGAUGAAGGUCUUCGGAUCGUAAAACUCUGUUAUUAGGGAAGAACAUAUGUGUAAGUAACUGUGCACAUCUUGACGGUACCUAAUCAGAAAGCCACGGAUAACUACGUG
rnacentral:rRNA from 1 species